UUGCUAGUUACCAUCAUUAAUUGGGGGACUCUAGCGAGACUGCCAGUGAUAAACUGGAGGAAGUGGGGGAUGACGUCAAAUCAUCAUGCCCCUUAUGACCUGGGCUACAAACGUGAUACAAUGGCUGGAACAAAGGGAUGCGAAGCAGUGAUGUGGAGCGAAACCCAUAAAAACAGUCUCAGUUCGGAUUGAAGUCUGCAACUCGACUUCAUGAAGUCGGAAUCGCUAGUAAUCGCGGAUCAGAACGCCGCGGUGAAUACGUUCUCGGGGUUU
rnacentral:rRNA from 1 species